rnacentral:rRNA from 1 species
CCCUUGUACACACCGCCCGUCACACCAUGGGAGUUGGCUUUACCCGAAGGCGUCGCGCUAACCCGCAAGGGAGGCAGGCGACCACGGUAGGGUCAGCGACUGGGGUG